GAACUCGCUGUGAAGAUGCAGUGUACCCGCGGCAAGACGGAAAGACCCCGUGAACCUUUACUAUAGCUUGACACUGAACAUUGAGCCUUGAUGUGUAGGAUAGGUGGGAGGCUUUGAAGCGUGGACGCCAGUCUGCGUGGAGCCGACCUUGAAAUACCACCCUUUAAUGUUUGAUGUUCUAACGUUGGCCCCUUACCGGGGUUGCGGACAGUGUCUGGUGGGUAGUUUGACUGGGGCGGUCUCCUCCCAAAGCGUAACGGAGGAGCACGAAGGUUAGCUAAUCCUGGUC
rnacentral:rRNA from 1 species